CCUGCAUGCUGCCAUGCUCCCUGCCAGGAUGGUGAUGGAUCUGAACUUCUGAAACUGAACGCAGGUGACUCAACAGCAACUCAAAGGCAUCACUGAGGAACUCCCAUCCAACAUGGGUGACAACUCCUGAUAGCUGCACUUCUGGAUCCCCUCCCCCAGGCUGGCACAAUGCAGACAUCAAAGAAGACUACUAAGGCUUAUCCCAAGAUGCUUGCAGUUGAAAGUCUAACUUGAUGGAAGUGCUAAGUUCAGAGUGGGCACCAUGGACAUGUCUUGUGAUGAGAAUGUUGGUUGAACACUGUAAGUCACAUGGGAGUGGUAGGCAUCAUGUCCCUUACCAUGAGGUAGAAUGUUGUAUACUAAUGAAAUGAGUAUGGGGUGGGGAGAAAAUGAUUUUGCUUUGAGAGAACAGGGAAGAUGGAUUUUGAUUUGGUCUUAAAGGGUGUAAGGAUUUCAUGAGAAGGGGCACUUGCAUUAAAUGAGCUAAGGUUAGCACAGGGAUAGUUAUUGCAUAUUAGUGUAUGUUUUCAUAUAGUUGUAAAGCAGUAGUUUUUGACUAGGAGAAGAAAUGGGUGAGAUGAAACAUCAAACUUAGUUGGGGAAACAUGGGGGCACACGGUAGUGGGCCAAAAGUUCAGUUUGUGAUAUUUCCUUGAGCAGAAAGUACUAUAUUAAUAGAACCUCCAGAUGGACUUAGGCUCUUGUCUUUGGAUGCCCCAGGCAAUGCCAGAUAUUUUCACUUGCUUCUUAAGCAGUCUUUGCCUUUUUCUGAAACAUUUCUCUGAAUAUUCAUUUCUAAAUUCUUUUAGAUGACCUGUGAUAUUUUUGGUGUGAUCAAAUGCCAUGACCAAAGACUCUUAUAGAAGAAAGAGUUUAUUUGGGCUUGCAGUUCCAAAGGGGUAGUCCCUAACGGGGGAGGUGUGGAAUCAGGGACAGACAGGCGAGAGAUCACAUUUUCAUCCACAGCAGGACACAGAGAAGGAACUGGUGGUCUAAACCCUCAAAGCCCAUCCCCAGUGUUAUACUUCCUGCAGCAAAACUGUGCCUCCUAAAGUUUCCAUAGCCUUCCCAAACAGCACCACCAGCUAGUGACCAAAUGUUGAGGUGACUGAGCCUAUGGGGGGCAUUUCUCAUUCAAACCACCACAGCUCAUUCUAAGUCAGUGUAGUGGUCACUGAAGCUUUACUAGGUCUCCGACACUCAAAGUGGCAGCAGUCAUCUUGUGCCCAUAUGACCCUUUUCCUAUUUCCUGUCUGUGUUCUGUCUUACUUCCUGCUCCAAAAUGGUCCAUUCCAA